AUCGCUUCUCGGCCUUUUGGCUAAGAUCAAGUGUAGGUUAUGACAUUGAGCAACAUAUGAUCUGUAAUUGAUAAACACUUCAAUAAUAGUAAUGUUAUAAUAUGCUUUUUUGCUGCAUUGUUUGCAUAUGUUCUGAUGCUGGGAACUUCACCUCCAGUGUGAUAGUGUUGAGAGGUGGUGCAACCUUU